rnacentral:rRNA from 1 species
AUUGAACGCUGGCGGCAUGCUUUACACAUGCAAGUCGAACGGCAGCACGGGCUUCGGCCUGGUGGCGAGUGGCGAACGGGUGAGUAAUACAUCGGAACGUACCCAGAAGUGGGGGAUAACGUAGCGAAAGUUACGCUAAUACCGCAUACGUUCUACGGAAGAAAGUGGGGGAUCUUCGGACCUCAUGCUUUUGGAGCGGCCGAUGUCUGAUUAGCUAGUUGGUAGGGUAAAGGCCUACCAAGGCGACGAUCAGUAGCUGGUCUGAGAGGACGACCAGCCACACUGGAACUGAGACACGGUCCAGACUCCUACGGGAGGCAGCAGUGGGGAAUUUUGGACAAUGGGCGCAAGCCUGAUCCAGCAAUGCCGCGUGAGUGAAGAAGGCCUUCGGGUUGUAAAGCUCUUUUGUCAGGGAAGAAACGGUCGUGGCUAAUAUCCAUGGCUAAUGACGGUACCUGAAGAAUAAGCACCGGCUAACUACGUGCCAGCAGCCGCCGUAACAC